GGGAGGGAGAGAGGGAGGGACAGCUAGGGGAAAAUCCAGAGAGGCAGGCAGAAGCGUGAGGGCCAGGGAGGUGCCUUGGUGACUGGGCUCGCCAGUCUCGGAGAUCUUCCAACCAUACGACUGACUUGGAGGAGAACCUGCCUCACCUCCUAAAGAUUCCAAGGGCCUUUGUCCCCUUCCCAGUCUGGGGUGGAGUCGCCAACCAGCCGGGCAAAGUCCAAGAGUCGGGGCUAAAGGAUAAGUCCUGUUCUGAGAGGGUUUCGGUUACCGUGGCUAAAGAAACAGGUGCCCUCCCUCCUGAGCCCCUGAGUCGCAGUGCCCCAUCUGGCCCCCGGUGACUGCUUCUUCUCCCUGAGCCCCCUGAUCACCUCCAAGGGCUGCCCUAGAAUCCACCCGAGUCUCUUUCUAGCCUAGCCUGCCUCCCGAGCUAAUGGGACAUUAUUCUCUGCUGUUCCGAGGGAGAUUUCCUUUUGCUGAUGCUGUAAACUGAAAGGGGAGAUCCUGUGGAGGCAUUAUGGCAAUGAACUUAGUGCAGAGCAAUCUGGGUUCAAAUCCCGCACCUUAUACCGAGUCUGUGGCUCUUGACAAAUGAUUCAACUUGUCAAAAUCUCUGACAUCCUCUGGAAUCUGGGGUAGCGGGGUUAACAGUACCCACAUCGCCCCCCUCACCAGGGUGCAGGUAGAGAGAACACUGAGACUCUGUCCCAGAGGGGGUGCCUAGGACGCUGCUAAAAAACUGGCCAUGUGGAGCUUGGAGAAUAGAAGACAGGAUGGAGCCAGGAGUGGAGGGGACACUCCGAGGGCUACCCUUAGGUGUUAGGAGGAGGACUGGCCCCAGAGGGAGAGUGCAAAGGGGCCAACCGAGGCUUGAUCUUCAGACCGAUUUCUUAACGAUCAGAGCUCUGAAGGUAGCUCUCUGUAAUAUUGACAAAUGGAAGGGAAUAGGAACAAAAGCUCAGCGAGAGCUAGGCUCAAGUAGGAUGACCCUGGCCAUCUGCCACACUGGAGGUCACUGAGAAGAGGCUCCCAGCGCGGACAUUCUGUGAGGGCAGGAUCACCUACCACCCCUUGUAAACCUUAGGUAAUAAUAAGGGAUGCGUCCGGAGGGCUCAGAGAUUUGCAGAGCAUGAUAGGGCCAUUAUCUCAUUGGAACCUCCAACAGUGCUGCAGGGCAGGUACCCUGUGUAUGACCCCGGGCAAAUUGCCCAACCUCAGUUUUGGUAUCUGUAAAUUGGUCUAGAUGGCCUCUAAGGUUUCUUCCAGGUUCCCGACUGAUGGUCCUACUCUUGGGUCAUUUGUGAUUUUUCCUUAAGCGAUCUGAUGACUUCUAUAGCAUUCCCAGCAUCUUUGCCGGGGAAGGACCCUCCACGGGCAUUGAGUUCUGCCGCCCAUCCAGCACAGGAGUCCUAGGGUCCUAGACCUGGAACUGGAAAGGGCUUCAAAGCACCUCAUUUGAGAAAGGAAGACACAGGCCCGGGAAAUCGAGACGGCUUUGUCCAAGGUCCCCUAGCCAGGCCCGGGAAAUCGAGACGGCUUUGUCCAAGGUCCCCUAGCCAGGCCCGGGAAAUCGAGACGGCUUUGUCCAAGGUCCCCUAGCCAGGCCCGGGAAAUCGAGACGGCUUUGUCCAAGGUCCCCUAGCCAGGCCCGGGAAAUCGAGACGGCUUUGUCCAAGGUCCCCUAGCCAGGCCCGGGAAAUCGAGACGGCUUUGUCCAAGGUCCCCUAGACAGGCCCGGGAAAUCGAGACGGCUUUGUCCAAGGUCCCCUAGCCAGGCCCGGGAAAUCGAGACGGCUUUGUCCAAGGUCCCCUAGCCAGGCCCGGGAAAUCGAGACGGCUUUGUCCAAGGUCCCCUAGACAGGCCCGGGAAAUCGAGACGGCUUUGUCCAAGUCCCCUAGCCAGGCCCGGGAAAUCGAGACGGCUUUGUCCAAGGUCCCCUAGCCAGGCCCGGGAAAUCGAGACGGCUUUGUCCAAGGUCCCCUAGCCAGGCCCGGGAAAUCGAGACGGCUUUGUCCAAGGUCCCCUAGCCGGCGAGUGUCUGAAAUGCGAUUUGAAUCCAAGUCUUCCUGACAGGGGCUCAAACCGCCACUGAGAUGUGCUGUUCUAUUGCGAGGGGGCUCAAAUUCUCACGGUUCGGCUCGGUGGGUUUUGUAAACCCUCAGCAAUUUGCUCCUGGAGGGAAGGCCAGGGCUAGAUCUGCAGAAAAAAUGCCAACCCGCAUCCCUGGACAGAGGGGGCUGAGAGCAAGGUUCUGAGGGACCUGGGGCCUAGCAACAGCAAUGGGAAAUGCCCGAGCUGGCCUCCAGGGGGAGGUGGGCACCCGGGGAGGCUGCUCUUUGGGCAAGCCCCACU